CGUAGGUAACCUGCCUGGUAGCGGGGGAUAACUAUUGGAAACGAUAGCUAAUACCGCAUAAGAACAUUUACUGCAUGGUAGAUGUUUAAAAGGUGCAAAUGCAUCACUACCAGAUGGACCUGCGUUGUAUUAGCUAGUAGGUGAGAUAACGGCUCACCUAGGCGACGAUACAUAGCCGACCUGAGAGGGUGAUCGGCCACACUGGGACUGAGACACGGCCCAG
rnacentral:rRNA from 1 species